CGCCUGUUUAUCAAAAACAUGGCUCUCUGUAUAUUGAAGAUAGAGAGUCGGACCUGCCCGGUGAAUUUUUUAACGGCCGCGGUACUCUGACCGUGCAAAGGUAGCAUAAUCAUUUGCCUUAUAAUUGAAGGCUAGAAUGAAUGGUUUGACAAGAAUACAACUGUCUCUUUACAAUUACAUAAAAUUUUAUCUGCAGUUGAAGAAGCCUGCAUUUGAAUAAAAGACAAGAAGACCCUAUCGAGCUUAAAAAAAACUGGUGGAAUAACAAACUUAAUCCUAACUUAUAAAUAAAUAAAUAGUCAACUACUGGAAAUUUUGGUUGGGGCGACCGGGGAACAAAAAAAACUUCCUUUAUAAAAAUUUAGAUGCCCAAAUAUUGAUCCAGCAUUAUAUGAUUAAAGAAAUUAGUUACCGUAGGGAUAACAGCAUUAUCUUUUUUAAGAGUUCUUAUCGAAAAAUCGGUUUGUGACCUCGAUGUUGGACCAGAAUAUCCUAAAGAUGCAGCCGUCUUUAAGGGUUGGUCUGUUCGACCAUUAAAAUUCUACGUGAUCUGAGUUCAGACCGG
rnacentral:rRNA from 1 species